rnacentral:rRNA from 1 species
CCCGGCGACCGGCGCACGGGUGAGUAACACGUAUGAAACCUGCCCGUAGCAGGGGGAUAAGCGGAAGAAAUUCCGUCUAAUACCGCGUAACAACCCAUGGAGGCAUCUCUGUGGGUUUAAAGGGAGCGAUUCCGGCUACGGAUGGUCAUGCGUCGCAUUAGCUUGUUGGCGGGGUAACGGCCCACCAAGGCGACGAUGCGUAGGGGUUCUGAGAGGAAGGUCCCCCACACUGGUACUGAGACACGGACCAGACUCCUACGGAAGGCAGCAG